GAGUUUGAUCCUGGCUCAGAUUGAACGCUGGCGGCAGGCCUAACACAUGCAAGUCGAGCGGUAGAGAGAAGCUUGCUUCUCCUGAGAGCGGCGGACGGGUGAGUAAUGCCUAGGAAUCUGCCUGGUAGUGGGGGAUAACGCUCGGAAACGGACGCUAAUACCGCAUACGUCCUACGGGAGAAAGCAGGGGACCUUCGGGCCUUGCGCUAUCAGAUGAGCCUAGGUCGGAUUAGCUAGUUGGUGAGGUAAUGGCUCACCAAGGCGACGAUCCGUAACUGGUCUGAGAGGAUGAUCAGUCACACUGGAACUGAGACACGGUCCAGACUCCUACGGGAGGCAGCAGUGGGGAAUAUUGGACAAUGGGCGAAAGCCUGAUCCAGCCAUGCCGCGUGUGUGAAGAAGGUCUUCGGAUUGUAAAGCACUUUAAGUUGGGAGGAAGGGCAGUAAAUUAAUACUUUGCUGUUUUGACGUUACGACAGAAUAAGCACCGGCUAACUCUGUGCCAGCCGCCG
rnacentral:rRNA from 1 species